ACACCUCAACUCUCAUGGUUUACCAUGACGAGCUUGGACUUUGGAGGUCUUGCUGGCCGGUGGCCAGCUCCUCUCAAAUGAAUUGGCUUGCCAGUGUUUGGUGGCAUCACGGGUGUGAUAACUAUCUACGCUUGUGGUUUUCCACCAGGUAACCUCCAGUGAUGGAGGUUCGCUGGAGCUCACAAACGUCUCUCCUUGCGAGGACAACUUCUGAAC
rnacentral:misc_RNA from 1 species